rnacentral:rRNA from 1 species
GCCCUUAGAGUUUGAUCCUGGCUCAGGAUGAACGCUGGCGGUAUGCUUUACACAUGCAAGUCGUACGAGAGUUUUUAACUCAAGUGGCGGACGGGUGAGUAACACGUAAGAAUUUGCCUUUAGGAGGGGGACAACAACUGGAAACGGUUGCUAAUACCCCAUAUGCUUUCGAGUAAAAUGGAUUUUCCGCCUAAAGAGAAGCUUGCGGCUGAUUAGCUUGUUGGUGAGGUAAUGGCUCACCAAGGCGACGAUCAGUAUCUGGUUUGAGAGGACGAUCAGACACACUGGAACUGAGACACGGUCCAGACUCCUACGGGAGGCAGCAGUGGGGAAUUUUCCGCAAUGGGCGAAAGCCUGACGGAGCAAUACCGCGUGAGGGAUGACGGCCUAUGGGUUGUAAACCUCUUUUUUCAGGGAGGAAUCAAUGACGUGUACCUGAAGAAUAAGCAUCGGCUAACUCCGUGCCAGCAGCCGCGGUAAGACGGAGGAUGCAAGUGUUAUCCGGAAUCACUGGGCCGUAAAGCGUCUGUAGGUGGUCAAAUAAGUCAACUGUUAAAUCUUGAGGCUCAACCUCAAAAUCGCAGUCGAAACUAUUCGACUAGAGUAUAGUAGGGGUAAAGGGAAUUUCCAGUGGAGCGGUGAAAUGCGUAGAGAUUGGAAAGAACACCGAUGGCGAAGGCACUUUACUGGGCUAUUACUAACACUGAGAGACGAAAGCUAGGGUAGCAAAUGGGAUUAGAUACCCCAGUAGUCCUAGCCGUAAACAAUGGAUACUAGAUGUUGAACAGAUCGACCUGUGCAGUAUCAAAGCUAACGCGUUAAGUAUCCCGCCUGGGAAGUAUGCUCGCAAGAGUGAAACUCAAAUGAAUUGACGGGGAAGGGC